rnacentral:rRNA from 1 species
UGGGGAAUAUUGCACGAUGGGCGAAAGCCUGAUGCAGCAACGCCGCGUGAGGGACGACGGCCUUCGGGUUGUAAACCUCUUUUAGCAAGGAAGAAGCGAAAGUGACGGUACUUGCAGAAAAAGCGCCGGCUAACUACGUGCCAGCAGCCGCGGUAAUACGUAGGGCGCAAGCGUUAUCCGGAAUUAUUGGGCGUAAAGAGCUCGUAGGCGGUUUGUCGCGUCUGCUGUGAAAACCCGAGGCUCAACCUCGGGCCUGCAGUGGGUACGGGCAGACUAGAGUGCGGUAGGGGAGAUUGGAACUCCUGGUGUAGCGGUGGAAUGCGCAGAUAUCAGGAAGAACACCGAUGGCGAAGGCAGAUCUCUGGGCCGUAACUGACGCUGAGGAGCGAAAGGGUGGGGAGCAAACAGGCUUAGAUACCCUGGUAGUCCACCCGUAAACGUUGGGAACUAGUUGUGGGGUCCAUUCCACGGAUUCCGUGACGCAGCUAACGCAUUAAGUUCCCCGCCUGGGGAGUAC